AAAUUUCUUCGGGGCAGGGUGUGAUUCCCUACCGGCGGUAUAGUCCGCGACCCGCUUUGGCGGCUGAUCUGGUGAAAUUCCGGAACCGACAGAGUAUUUGAAGAACGUG
rnacentral:ncRNA from 2 species